AGAGUUUGAUCCUGGCUCAGAAUGAACGUUGGCGGCGUGGAUUAGGCAUGCAAGUCGUACGGGCCGCAAGGCCAGUGGCGGAAGGGUGAGUAAGGCGACGGUAACCAACCCCGAAGAUGGGUAUAGCCGCGGGAAACUGCGGGUAAUCCCCAGCGACGCCUCGUGUCGGCAUCGACGUGAGGCCAAUGGUGUCAGUCCGCUUCGGGACGGGCCGUCGUGGUAUUAGCUAGUUGGCGGGGUAACGGCUCACCAAGGCUGCGAUGCCUACCGGGUGUGCGAGCAUGGCCCGGCACACUGGGCCGGAGACACUGCCCAGACACCGACGGGGGGCUGAAGUUGGGAAUCUUCGGGAAUGGGCGCAAGCCUGACCGAGGGAGGUCGCGUGGGGGAUGAAGGCCUUCGGGUUGUAAACUCCUGUCGAGGGGGAGGAACGGCGUACGCAGACUACGUCUGGAAGGAUCCCUGGAGGAAGCACGGGCUAAGUUCGUGCCAGCCGCCGCGGUAAUUC
rnacentral:rRNA from 1 species